AGCAAAGGAUACCAGCAGUCCACAAUUUGCUGGAACUUUUCUACUUCGAAGUUAUAGUCACGAAGGCACCAAGCUUACUGCAAGAGAUUCUCCCUCGCUCAGGGCCACCAAUUCUGCCACCAUGCUCAACUCCAGAGCCCUGGUCUUCUCCUACAGGUCUGUUCCACCUUCCAGAGAACCCAACAGCCUGCAUUUUCCUGACUUGUCCUUGGCUAGGAGCCAUGUGACCCUCCUCAGUGGGUUCUGUGUCUUACAGGAGGGAAAACAUUUCCUUUCCUUGCCAACGCUGACCGAUCAGCAAUUAAGCAUCGUCUUCAAAAGGGUUCUCAGGUGCUUCCUGAAGGCAAGAGUGCUGCAGUUGAUUAGCAAUGUCUGCGUGGACCACAGGAGGGGUGUGAUGGUUCAAAUUUUGCCAGCCCUGAUUUACCAGGCCUUAUUAUAGAAGCAAACUGCCAGUGUGGAACAGGAGCCUCAUUCUCCUUAGAAAACAAUAGGUGGAAAGAUGGUGGGAAACUACGUGCCCCAUUCUAUAGAAGACCCUUAAAAAUAGCUUGCCCCAAAUUAAGAUGGUCACAGUGUACACUGAGGCAGCCAGGACAUCCCUACUAUCAGAAUGUGCAAAAUAACAUUGGAAGCAAACAGUAUUGCAAACAACGAAAAGAGCUUUGUGAGAACCAGGAUGGUGGAAAUAAAUUCUUAGAAAAGCAGAACCAGAUAAUUAAGUUAGAGACACAUGUACACCAUGUACCCAGAAGAUCUGGGUUUUUUUUAUAUUGCUCCAAACUGUAUUACUUCUUAGCCUGAGUUGGUGACCUUAAUUGAUUUAUUUUCAUGAGCACAGCUAUAAUGUAAAGACUACAUAAGCAUGUGGAUUAGUCAGUCCUCUGUGCCUAAAUUUAAUUCCAGUUAAUAACAAUAAAACAAUAAUUGUCGUUAUUAUUA